rnacentral:rRNA from 1 species
AUUGAACGCUGGCGGCAGGCCUAACACAUGCAAGUCGAACGGUAACAGGAAGAAGCUUGCUUCUUUGCUGACGAGUGGCGGACGGGUGAGUAAUGUCUGGGAAACUGCCUGAUGGAGGGGGAUAACUACUGGAAACGGUAGCUAUUACCGCAUAACGUCGCAAGACCAAAAAGGGGGACCUUCGGGCCUCUUGCCAUCGGAUGUGCCCAGAUGGGAUUAGCUAGUAGGUGGGGUAACGGCUCACCUAGGCGACGAUCCCUAGCUGGUCUGAGAGGAUGACCAGCCACACUGGAACUGAGACACGGUCCAGACUCCUACGGGAGGCAGCAGUGGGGAAUAUUGCACAAUGGGCGCAAGCCUGAUGCAGCCAUGCCGCGUGUAUGAAGAAGGCCUUCGGGUUGUAAAGUACUUUCAGCGGGGAGGAAGGGAGUAAAGUUAAUACCUUUGCUCAUUGACGUUACCCGCAGAAGAAGCACCGGCUAACUCCGUG